AACGAACGCUGGCGGCAUGCCUAACACAUGCAAGUCGAACGAGACCUUCGGGUCUAGUGGCGCACGGGUGCGUAACGCGUGGGAACCUGCCCUUAGGUUCGGAAUAACUCCCCGAAAGGGGUGCUAAUACCGGAUAAUGUCUUCGGACCAAAGAUUUAUCGGCUUUGGAUGGGCCCGCGUUGGAUUAGCUAGUUGGUAGGGUAAAAGCCUACCAAGGCGACGAUCCAUAGCUGGUCUGAGAGGAUGAUCAGCCACACUGGGACUGAGACACGGCCCAGACUCCUACGGGAGGCAGCAGUGGGGAAUAUUGGACAAUGGGCGAAAGCCUGAUCCAGCAAUGCCGCGUGAGUGAUGAAGGCCUUAGGGUUGUAAAGCUCUUUUACCCGGGAUGAUAAUGACGGUACCGGGAGAAUAAGCUCCGGCUAACUCCGUG
rnacentral:rRNA from 1 species